AAAAGAAUUACUUAGAAUUUAUACAAAGGAGAAAAGUUGGAGGGAGCGACUCUUGAAAAAUGGCAUUGUAAAAUCAUCUCCAAUGCCACCACGGACACAUCCUGAAUGCGUGGGGACUGAGGAGGAUCCUAAGUGCAUUAUAUGUCAGCAAUAUCAGUUGUAUGUGAUUGUAGGCCAUCUGCUUUUGUUUGUCUUGAGCACUGGCAACACAUCUGUGAAUGCAAACCCAGCAAACAUUGCCUCCUUGACCGUCAUACAUUAGCAGAGUUAAGUGACUUGCUGCUCACUGUUGAUAAAUACAAUGGUGAGGAGACUCAAAGGAGUGAGGUGCUCCAGCAAAGAUCUUUCUCCAGCGAAACAAUGUCGAUAAAUUUAGUAUUUACUCCAUUCUGCAUAAUUUUGUUAUUUCUGUUGAUAAUGGUGAACUUCUUAAAAUAUAUCAUAGUUUCUAUAGAUGAUGGUGAACUUCUUAAAAUAUAUCAUAGUUAAUUGCCAAUAUUAUGGUAGUGCAGGUUUUGGCCGCUGUCAUCAAGGCAAGUGCUUCCAGAGAGCAUAAGAUUCUUGCGGAAAUUAGAGAUGUUGUUUUUACGUUUAUUCGUAAAAUGGAAUCGAAGAGAGUUAUGGAUACCAUGCUCGUCUCACAUGUCAGGAUAUUGUAUAUUCAGUCUUUGCUUGCUAGAUCACCAGAGCUGUAGUCUAUCAAGGUAACAAUUUUGGAUAUCUCCUCUAGGCUUCAAAAUUUGCAAGAGCUAGCUUAUGGGGCAAAUGAACCGCACAAUCAAGAACAAGAUUGAUGUUUUCGUAGGUUAUUUGAGUUUUACCAUUUUUAGUUCGGGGUUGUUCAGUUUGAGCGUCACUUUAGGGACCAUUAUCGAAUAAGUUUUGACAAUCUGAAUGAGAGAAUUCAAAGGUGAGGAUUUGGAUAUUGAUGCUAACUUGACAAAGGUUCAUCUUGUGAGAUUUCUUGGCCA